CGGGAAGUGGUGGAACGGCAGACACGCGAGUCUCAGAAGCUCGUGAGCGAGAGCUCGUGAGGGUUCAAAUCCCUCCUUCCCGA
rnacentral:tRNA from 1 species